rfam:Providencia rettgeri DSM 1131 P_rettgeri-1.0.1_Cont7.7, whole genome shotgun sequence.
UAUGAAUCUUAAUUUUGUUUUCUUUUUCUUCUUUAGCAACUCCUAAUUGGGGGCUUUUGUCGUUCGAGAAAGAAAAGAAGACAAAAUUAGAAAGCCCCCUCUAGGGGGCUUUUUUUAU